rnacentral:rRNA from 1 species
UACGGGGGGGGCAAGCGUUGUUCGGAAUUACUGGGCGUAAAGGGCUCGUAGGUGGCCAACUAAGUCAGACGUGAAAUCCCCAGGCUUAACCUGGGAACUGCAUCCGAUACUGGAUGGCUUGAAUUCGGGAGAGGGAUGCAGAAUUCCAGGUGUAGCGGUGAAAUGCGUAGAUAUCUGGAGGAAUACCGGUGGCGAAGGCGGCAUCCUGGACCGACAUUGACGCUGAUGAGCGAAAGCUAGGGGAGCAAACGGG